UGGUUAUGUGGUGCCAGGUGGUGGGGGAAUUGAGGGGGCCCGAGCGUUGUUCGGAGUGACUUGGCGUCAAGGGGGCUCAGGUGGCAUGGCAAGUUUUGUGUGAAAUGUCCGGGCUCAACCCGGAAAAUGCAUUGAAUACUGUCGUGCUGGAGGGUGGGAGGGGGGACUGGAAUUCUCGGUGUAGCAGUGAAAUGCGUAGAUAUCGAGAGGAACACCAGUGGCGAAGGCGAGUCCCUGGACAACACCUGACACUGAGGCACGAAAGCUAGGGGAGCAAACAGGAUUAGAUACCCCUGUAGUC
rnacentral:rRNA from 1 species